ACUUAAAUUGAAGAGUUUGAUCAUGGCUCAGAUUGAACGCUGGCGGCAGGCCUAACACAUGCAAGUCGAGCGGUAGCACAGGAGAGCUUGCUCUCUGGGUGACGAGCGGCGGACGGGUGAGUAAUGUCUGGGAAACUGCCUGAUGGAGGGGGAUAACUACUGGAAACGGUAGCUAAUACCGCAUAACGUCGCAAGACCAAAGUGGGGGACCUUCGGGCCUCA
rnacentral:rRNA from 1 species